GACAACAGUUCGCGGCAACGCAUACUAUUUUUCUCCGCCAAUCUUAUACCGUUGGUAGGGAUCUCUUUCCUACAUGACAGUACUAAUACCCAGGGAAACUGGUCAUCAGGCGAACUGCGGCGUUCUGCUGGCAAACAUAGCUUCGGUUAUGUCAAUGGCUAUUGGAUUGGUCCAUGAAGCAAAAAUAGUUUACUGUGUCACUCGUACCGAUAACCGCAUCAGGUCUUCUAGGUAAGUAGCCUAUGGCCAUUGAGGGCAUGAUAGUUCAGGGAAUUCGGCCAAUUAGAGCUGUAACUUCGGGAUAAAGCUUGGCUCUGAUGAAAAUCAGAACCGAUUGUUACGCGGAGAGCCCAACUGUUUAAUAAAAACGUAGUGUCGCGCUGUGGUAGUAUAGCCAGUGAACGCGACAUGAAUCCUGCUCAGUGCUGUGUCUGUUAAUAUGGUUCAAGCCAACGAAGCACCGGUAAAUAGCUGGGGUAACUAUGACUCUUAUCAAAGUAGCGAAAUACCUCGUCACUUAAUUAGUGACCUGCAUGAACGGAGCUAUGAGGUUCUCACUGUCCCAAACUGUCUCUCAGCGAACCAACUGUAGUGGGAACGGUCACUAGAUAUCCAGCGGGAAAGAAGACCCUGUAGAGCUUCACUUUGGUCUAGUCUUGUAUAGUUCCUGCGGGGGUGUAGACUAGGUGGGAGAGCAAUCGAUUCUGAAAAACCACUACCCUGUUUGGAAUUAUGCUUACCUAUCACAAGGAAUAGGACUAGAUAGAAAGUUUGGCUGGGGCGGCACACCUUCGAAAGAGCAGCGAAGGUGUCCUAAGUUGAGCUCAGUGAGGACAGAAAUCUCACGUUGAGGAUAAGGCCAAAAGCUCAAUUUACUGUGCCUUUUUGUACUAGGAUCAGUUACGAAAGUAAGGCCUAACGAUCCCUAAAUAGCCUCAGGUGCGUGAGGAUUGGGGUGACAGACAAGUUACCUCCGGGACAACUGGCUUGUGGCUGCUAAGAGAUCAAAUCAACGCAGUUUUUGAUUCUUCGAUGUCGGCUCUUCCUAUCCUAGUGAUGUACAAGUUGCUAAGGGUCGGAUUGUUCACCGUAUUAGGGAUCGUGAGCUGGGUUUAGACCGUCGUGAGCCAGGUUUGUUUUAUCCUACUGGAUAUAGCAUCAUGAUAGUAGAUUGAUUUAGUACGAGAGGAACUGUUGAUUAUGGCCUCUGGUUAGCGAUUAUCGGAAACGGUAUGUCGCGCAGCUACGCCGUCUGGAUAAUGGCUGAAAGCCUCUUAAGCCAGAAGCCCAUCUAGAAAGUGAUGCACGUGAUGUUGGACCGAUACGAAUAAUCAUACUCAAAAGGUCCGCUUCAUAGGUAACCCAAUGUAGAAGACAUUGU
rnacentral:rRNA from 1 species